rnacentral:miRNA from 1 species
GGACUAGGAAUGUAACUCAGUGGUAGAGUCCUUGCCAGACAUGCAUAAGGUCCUAGAGUUCAAUCCUCAGCAAUAAAAAGAAAGUAAGUUUAAUA